rnacentral:rRNA from 1 species
CUCUGUGGGGGGAGAAGAAGAAAGUCGGUGAAGAGCCGGCCCUGACGGUAUCCCCUUAGCAAGCACCGGCUAACUCCGUGCCAGCAGCCGCGGUAAUACGGAGGGUGCAAACGUUGCUCGGAAUCAUUGGGCGUAAAGCGCGCGUAGGCGGCAUGGUCAGUCAGGCGUGAAAUUCCUGGGCUUAACCUGGGGGCUGCGCUUGAUACGGCUGUGCUAGAGGGCGGAAGAGGGUCGUGGAAUUCCCAGUGUAGAGGUGAAAUUCGUAGAUAUUGGGAAGAACACCGGUGGCGAAGGCGGCGACCUGGUCCGUUACUGACGCUGAGGCGCGACAGCGUGGGGAGCAAAACAGGAUUAGAUACCCUGGUAGUCCACGCCGUAAACGAUGUGCGCUGGAUGUUGGGGCCCUUAGGGUCUCAGUGUCGUAGCUAACGCGGUAAGCGCACCGCCUGGGG